GACGAACCGUGCGAACGUUGUUCGGAAUCACUGGGCUUAAAGGGCGCGUAGGCGGGCCGUCCAGUCAGGGGUGAAAUCCUCCAGCUUAACUGGAGAACAGCUUUUGAUACUGACGGCCUCGAGGGGGGUAGGGGCAUGUGGAACUUCCGGUGGAGCGGUGAAAUGCGUAGAUAUCGGAAGGAACGCCGGUGGCGAAAGCGACGUGCUGGACCUCUUCUGACGCUGAGGCGCGAAAGCCAGGGGAGCAAACGGG
rnacentral:rRNA from 1 species